rnacentral:rRNA from 1 species
CCUACGGGAGGCAGCAGUGAGGAAUAUUGGUCAAUGGGCGCGAGCCUGAACCAGCCAAGUCGCGUGAGGGAAGACGGUCCUAUGGAUUGUAAACCUCUUUUGUCGGGGAGCAAAAGACGCCACGCGUGGCGUUCCGAGAGUACCCGAAGAAAAAGCAUCGGCUAACUCCGUGCCAGCAGCCGCGGUAAUACGGAGGAUGCGAGCGUUAUCCGGAUUUAUUGGGUUUAAAGGGUGCGUAGGCGGACGCUUAAGUCAGCGGUAAAAUUGCGGGGCUCAACCUCGUCGAGCCGUUGAAACUGGGUGCAGUGAGUGGGCGAGAAGUACGCGGAAUGCGUGGUGUAGCGGUGAAAGGCAUAGAUAUCACGCAGAACUCCGAUUGCGAAGGCAGCGUACCGGCGCCCAACUGACGCUGAAGCACGAAGGCGUGGGUAUCGAACAGGAUUAGAUACCCUUGUAGUC